rnacentral:rRNA from 1 species
GUUGCAGUUAAAAGCUCGUAGUUGGAUUUCGGAAGGUCCUUAGUAGUCCGCCCCUUCGGGGAGCGGGCUGCUGGCCUCCUAUGUUCCUAACGGUCCUCAUCCGCGAGGGUGGGGAAUCAACCGCUAGGAUCGUUUACUUUGAGGAAAUUAGAGUGUUCAAAGCAGGCGUAACUCGCCUCCGAAUACGUUAGCAUGGGAUAAUGGAAUACGACUUCGGUCUUGUUUCGUUGGUUUCGCUUGGCUGAAGUAAUGAUUGAUAGGGACAGUUGGGGGCAUUAGUAUUUAGUUGUCAGAGGUGAAAUUCUAGGAUUUACUAAAGACUGACCAAUGCGAAAGCAUUUGCCAAGGAUGUUUUCAUUAAUCAAGAACGAAAGUAGGGGGAUCGAAGACGAUCAGAUACCGUCGUAGUCUCUACCGUAAACUAUGCCGACCAGGGAUCCGGAGAGUUUGCAUGGAUGACUCCCCGGGCACCUUGUGAGAAAUCAUAAGUGUUUGGGUUUUGGGGGGAGUAUGGUCGCAAGGCUGAAACUUAAAGGAAUUGACGGAAGGGCACCACCAGGAGUGGAACCUGCGGCUUAAUUUGACU